rnacentral:lncRNA from 1 species
UCUUUCCUAUAAUUGUUCUACUGGAAGUUGUCAUUUUACACAGGAGACAUUCUGUUUUAUUUAUUUUCUUUUGAGCCAGGGUCUCACUCUGUCGCCCAGGCUGGAGUGCGGUGUUGUUACCACAGGUCACUGGUGCCUCCACUGCCUGAGGACUGCUCAAGCAAUCCUCCUACCUCAGUCCCCUGAGGAGCCGGGGCCACAGGCCUGCACCACCACGCCUGGCUAAUUAUUUUUAUUUGUAGAGACGAAGUCUAUCUUGCCUAGGCUGAUCUCGAACUGCUGGGCUCAAGUAAUCCUCCUGCCGUGGCUUCUCAAAGUGCUUGGGAUUACACAUGGUCUUGCUCUGUCACCCAGUCUGGAAUGCAGUGGUGCCAUCAUAGCUCACUACAGCCUGAGCUGUACUGAGCUUGAGGGAUCUUCCCGUCUCAGCCUCCUAAGUAGCUGGGACUACAGAAGAGAAGUGAUUUUCUUGAAAUGCAUGAGGCUGGAAAGGGAGCUGGCACUUAAAGUGGCGGUGUUUGUCCGAGAGGAUGGUGCUCCUGCUCUGUCACAGUGGGCAUGGGGAUUCAGGCCACUGCCACCGAAUUUCAAGAGCCCAAGCACAGAGCCCAGAACUAAAUUGUGAGGGUUUAAAAAAAAAAAAAAAAAAGCUUUAUUGAAGUAUAAUUGACAUACAAUAAACUUGAAUAUUUAAAGUGUA